rnacentral:rRNA from 1 species
GAUGAACGCUGGCGGCGUGCCUAAUACAUGCAAGUAGAACGCUGAAGGAAGGAGCUUGCUCUUUCCGGACGAGUUGCGAACGGGUGAGUAACGCGUAGGUAACCUGCCUGGUAGCGGGGGAUAACUAUUGGAAACGAUAGCUAAUACCGCAUAACAGUAGAUGUUGCAUGAUAUCUACUUAAAAGGUGCAAUUGCACCACUACCAGAUGGACCUGCGUUGUAUUAGCUAGUUGGUGAGGUAACGGCUCACCAAGGCGACGAUACAUAGCCGACCUGAGAGGGUGAUCGGCCACACUGGGACUGAGACACGGCCCAGACUCCUACGGGAGGCAGCAGUAGGGAAUCUUCGGCAAUGGACGGAAGUCUGACCGAGCAACGCCGCGUGAGUGAAGAAGGUUUUCGGAUCGUAAAGCUCUGUUGUAAGAGAAGAACGAGUGUGAGAGUGGAAAGUUCACACUGUGACGGUAUCUUACCAGAAAGGGACGGCUAACUACGUG